rnacentral:lncRNA from 1 species
AAUCGAGCUUUUGAAGUUACUAACAAGUAUAAAAUACAAUCUUGUAAAACUGGACUCAAUACACAUAAUGAUUAGAAAAGAUAUAAAGGAUAGUUUACUGCUCAAACAAAAAUUACGUGCCAUCUAACCUAAUACUAAUUUGACUCAUGGUGCUACUACAUGGAACCUACUAUAUAUUGUGCUACUUCUCAACUAUCUCUUAAGUACUUUUUUCUGACCCUUAAGUAUC